rnacentral:rRNA from 1 species
UACGUAGGGGGCAAGCGUUGUCCGGAAUCAUUGGGCGUAAAGCGCACGUAGGCGGCCCUGUAAGUCCGUUGUGAAAGUCAAAGGCUCAACCUUUGAAUGCCGAUGGAUACUGCAGAGCUAGAGUCCGGAAGAGGCGAGUGGAAUUCCUGGUGUAGCGGUGGAAUGCGCAGAUAUCAGGAGGAACACCAAUAGCGAAGGCAGCUCGCUGGGACGGUACUGACGCUAAGGUGCGAAAGCGUGGGGAGCGAACAGG